CACUGGUAGAGGCCUGAGGCAGCCCUUCUGAUGAGUCCAUUGGAGGACGAACCAGUG
rnacentral:sRNA from 1 species